GCACCUGACCAUCACCCCUCGUUCUGGAUCGUUCGGCCACUCCCGAGCGACACUUCGCUCAUUUCUCUCUGCCACGUAUGUCUCGAGAACCCUGCUUCUUCCGGUCACUCCACGUCUCGAGGCCCCAGUGAACACCUAACCGAGUCUACCUCGAGCCUCGCCAACGCCCAGACGGCAAAGAACUCCCUGGACUCUCCAAGGACUGGCCUCUUCUCUGCUGCGCUGGCUUCAUCCUCUACCUGCUUCCCGUCGUCGUCAACGAGUCUGUUUCCAGUGUUGAAGGCAUCGCAUUCCCUAAGAGUGGUGUUCUACAAGACUACCGUGGCUGGUCUCUUGAAGAGGAGUUAUGUAAAGGGCAGAACACCACCACUUCGCUCAUUUCUCUCUGCCACGUACGUCUCGAGAACCCUUUUUCUUCCGGGCACUCCACGUCUCAAGGCCCCAGUGAAUACCUGACUGAGUCUACCUCAAGCCUCACCAACACCCAGACGGCAGAGAACUCCCUGGACUCUCCAAGGACUGGCCUCUCCUCUGCUGCCCUGGAUUCACCCUCUACCUGCUUCCCAGCGCCGUCAACGAGCCUGCCUCCAGUGUUGGUGAGAUUAGUGUUCCUCUGGCCCUCCCUCCCUCCCUCCCCUCUGGAGGUCAAUUCAUGGUGAGAGCUGGGUGGUGUGCAAGGUGUCCCUUUUGUUGUUGUUAUAUUGUGUAUACCUUUUUGUUGUUAUAUUGUGUAUACCUAUGUGUUUUUGAUAUGUUGUGUAUAACUGUGUUUUUGCAAGUCUAGUAAACUUGGAACCAUU